UGGGGAAUAUUGCACAAUGGGCGCAAGCCUGAUGCAGCCAUGCCGCGUGUGUGAAGACGGCCUUCGGGUUGUAAAGCACUUUCAGCGGGGAGGAAGGCGAUAAGGUUAAUAACCUUGUCGAUUGACGUUACCCGCAGAAGAAGCACCGGCUAACUCCGUGCCAGCAGCCGCGGUAAUACGGAGGGUGCAAGCGUUAAUCGGAAUUACUGGGCGUAAAGCGCACGCAGGCGGUCUGUCAAGUCGGAUGUGAAAUCCCCGGGCUCAACCUGGGAACUGCAUCUGAUACUGGCAAGCUUGAGUCUCGUAGAGGGGGGUAGAAUUCCAGGUGUAGCGGUGAAAUGCGUAGAGAUCUGGAGGAAUACCGGUGGCGAAGGCGGCCCCCUGGACGAAGACUGACGCUCAGGUGCGAAAGCGUGGGGAGCAAACAGG
rnacentral:rRNA from 1 species